AAAUGAAUUGACGGGGGCCCGCACAAGCGGAGGAGCAUGUGGUUUAAUUCGAUGAUACGCGAGGAACCUUACCUGGGCUUGAAAGUUAGUGACAGUCCCUGAAAGGGGAUCUUCCGCAAGGACACGAAACUAGGUGCUGCAUGGCUGUCGUCAGCUCGUGCCGUGAGGUGUUGGGUUAAGUCCCGUAACGAGCGCAACCCCUAUCAUUAGUUGCCAACAGGUUAAGCUGGGGACUCUAAUGAGACUGCCCGCGCAAGCGGUGAGGAAGGUGGGGAUGACGUCAAGUCAUCACGGCCCUUACGUCCAGGGCUACACACGUGCUACAAUGGUAGAUACAGCAGGUUGCCACAUGGUAACAUGGAGCUAAUCCCAAAAGUCUAUCUCAGUUCGGAUUGAGGUCUGCAACUCGACCUCAUGAAGCUGGAUUCGCUAGUAAUCGGAAAUCAGCAAUGUUCCGGUGAAUACGUUCCCGGGCCUUGUACACACCGCCCGU
rnacentral:rRNA from 1 species